GUACGGGAGGCAGCAGUGAGGAAUAUUGGUCAAUGGGCGAGAGCCUGAACCAGCCAAGUCGCGUGCAGGAAGAAUGUCCUAUGGAUUGUAAACUGCUUUUGCAGGGGAAUAAAGUGAGCCACGUGUGGUUUUUUGUAUGUACUCUGCGAAUAAGGAUCGGCUAACUCCGUGCCAGCAGCCGCGGUAAUACGGAGGAUCCGAGCGUUAUCCGGAUUUAUUGGGUUUAAAGGGUGCGUAGGCGGGAUAAUAAGUCAGUGGUGAAAGUUUGCAGCUUAACUGUAAAAUUGCCGUUGAAACUGUUAUUCUUGAGAGUAGAUAAGGUAGGCGGAAUGUGUUGUGUAGCGGUGAAAUGCAUAGAUAUAACACAGAACCCCGAUUGCGAAGGCAGCUUACCGGGCUACAUCUGACGCUGAUGCACGAAAGCGUGGGGAUCAAACAGGAUUAGAUACCCUGGUAGUCU
rnacentral:rRNA from 1 species